rnacentral:rRNA from 1 species
UGACCUCAAAUCAGGUAGGACUACCCGCUGAACUUAAGCAUAUCAAUAAGCGGAGGAAAAGAAACUAACAAGGAUUCCCCUAGUAACUGCGAGUGAAGCGGGAAAAGCUCAAAUUUAAAAUCUGGCGGUCUCCGGCCGUCCGAGUUGUAAUUUAGAGAAGCGUUAUCCGU